GAGGAGGAAGACAAUCCCUCUAAAACCGGCGCUUCUACCGCCACAAAUGGACGCCCGCCUUCCCCCGUUGCCGACCGUGGACGCCCAUGGAAUCAAUCGCAGUGCUGAAACGUAUGAUAGUGAAAUCUGUUGCCAAAUGCUUACAACAGGAAUUCUGCAGAUGCUGGAAAUUCAAGCAACACAAACAAAGUUGCUGGCGAACGCAGCAGGCCAGGCAGCAUCUCUAGGAAGAGGUGCAGUUGACGUUUCAGGCUGAGACCCUUCGUCAGGACUAACUGAAGCAAGAGGCCAGAUUUGGCAGGUUUCCAGAAAUCUGCUUGUGGAAAAGGAACUGUAGCUCAGCCACAAUGUCUCUGGAG